rnacentral:rRNA from 1 species
CAGCGCCGCGGUAAUACGGAGGAUCCAAGCGUUAUCCGGAAUCAUUGGGUUUAAAGGGUCCGUAGGCGGUCUUGUAAGUCAGUGGUGAAAGCCCAUCGCUCAACGGUGGAACGGCCAUUGAUACUGCAGGACUUGAAUUAUUGGGAAGUAACUAGAAUAUGUAGUGUAGCGGUGAAAUGCUUAGAGAUUACAUGGAAUACCAAUUGCGAAGGCAGGUUACUACCAAUUGAUUGACGCUGAUGGACGAAAGCGUGGGUAGCGAACAGGAUUAGAUACCCCUGUAGUCCCUGUCUCUUAUACC